AUUGAACGCUGGCGGCAGGCCUAACACAUGCAAGUCGAACGAGUGGCGGACGGGUGAGUAAUGUCUGGGAAACUGCCUGAUGGAGGGGGAUAACUACUGGAAACGGUAGCUAAUACCGCAUACCAUCGGAUGUGCCCAGCUGGGAUUAGCUAGUAGGUGGGGUAACGGCUCACCUGGGCGCCGAUCCCUAGCUGGUCUGAGAGGAUGACCAGCCACACUGGACCUGAGACACGGUCCCGACGCCUACGGGAUGCAGCAGUGGGGAAUAGUGCACAAUGGGCGCAAGCCUGAUGCAGCCAUGCCGCGUGUAUGCAGAAGGCCUUCGGGUUGUAAAGUACUUUCAGCGGGGAGGCGUUAGCCGCAGAAGAAGCACCGGCUAACUCCGUGCCAGCAGCCGCGGUAAUAC
rnacentral:rRNA from 1 species